rnacentral:rRNA from 1 species
GACGAACGCUGGCGGCGUGCUUAACACAUGCAAGUCGAGCGGAAAGGCUCCUUCGGGGGUACUCGAGCGGCGAACGGGUGAGUAACACGUGAGUAAUCUGCCCUGUGCUCUGGGAUAGCCACCGGAAACGGUGAUUAAUACCGGAUAUGACCACUCCGCGCCUGUGGUGGUGGUGGAAAGUUUUUCGGCGCAGGAUGUGCGCGCGGCCUAUCAGCUUGUUGGUGAGGUAAUGGCUCACCAAGGCUUUGACGGGUAGCCGGCCUGAGAGGGUGCCCGGUCACACUGGGACUGAGACACUGCCCAGACUCGUACGGGAGGCAGCAGUGGCGAAUAUUGGACAAUGUGCGGAAGCCUGAUCCAGCAACGCCGCGUGAGGGAUGACGGCCUUCGGGUUGUAAACCUCUUUCAGUACCGACGAAGCGUGAGUGACGGUAGGUACAGAAGAAGGACCGGCCAACUACGUGCCAGCCGCCGCCGUAAGAC